rnacentral:lncRNA from 1 species
UGUCCGGGAUGGCCCUCAGCCGACUUGUGCAGGAAAGGAAACCUUGGAGUUUCCACACUUUUGGCUUUGUGGCUGUCUCGACAAGGAACUCUGAUGGUACGAUGAACCUGAUGAACUGGGAGUGUGCUAUCCCUGGAAAGAAGGGGACUCCGUGGGAAGGAGGCUUGUUCAAACUAAGUAGGCUUUUCAAAGAUGACUAUCCGUCCUCACCACCAAAAAUGUAAAUUUGAACCACCACUGUUUUCAUCCGAACGUGCAUCCUUCUGGCACAGUAUGCCUGUCUGUCCUGGAGGAAGACAAGGACUGGGAGCCAGCUAUCACCAUCAGACAGAUCUUAAGAAUACAAGAACUUCUAAAUGAACCAAAUAUUCAAGACCCAGCUCAAGCAGAGACCUACACAAUUUACUGCCAAAGCAGGGUGGAAUAUAAGUAAAGGGUCCGAGCACAAGCAAAGACGUUUGCCCCC